rnacentral:rRNA from 1 species
UUCGGGUUGUAAAGUACUUUCAGCAGUGAGGAAGGUGGGUAUGUUAAUAGCAUAUUCAUUUGACGUUAGCUGCAGAAGAAGCACCGGCUAACUCCGUGCCAGCAGCCGCGGUAAUACGGAGGGUGCGAGCGUUAAUCGGAAUUACUGGGCGUAAAGCGCAUGCAGGUGGUUUGUUAAGUCAGAUGUGAAAGCCCGGGGCUCAACCUCGGAAUUGCAUUUGAAACUGGCAAACUAGAGUACUGUAGAGGGGGAUAGAAUUUCAGGUGUAGCGGUGAAAUGCGUAGAGAUCUGAAGGAAUACCGGUGGCGAAGGCGGCCCCCUGGACAGAUACUGACACUCAGAUGCGAAAGCGUGGGGAGCAAACAGGAUUAGAUACCCUGGUAG